AAAAAAUAGAAAGCAGCCUAUAAAUAAAACCAAAAUUCUGUAUCAGAAUGUCAAUUUCAACAACACAUUUCAAAAAUUCAAGUACUUCUAAUUUAGACUGGACAUCAACAACAAAAAUAAGCUUUCCCAAAUUUCCUUGCUCUCUAAUACUUGAAAAUACUUCCAAAAUGAAGCUACCAUUAUAAAAGUACCCUCCUCAAUUGCUCUCUCUUCAAGCAGAAGCUGCUGUUCCCUUCUUCCUUGGAGCUGCUUCAGUCCCUUCUCUGAAAUUGGUCUUGAAUCUGCGAGGAACGUUGCGGAGGUACCUCAUGCGGCCGGUACCAGUUGUCUUUCUGCGGAUAGCCUUCACACUCCAGUUGUAUGAUCUUUUCCUAGCAGCAGGAUAAGCACAAGCAGAACAUCGACUCUUCUGGAGAUGGAAACUGCGGCGACCGCACCUCACACACAGUGUGUGGGUCUUGUUCCUCCUCUUA
rnacentral:misc_RNA from 1 species